ACGCUCGACACCUACGGGAGGCAGCAGUGGGGAAUAUUGCACAAUGGGGGAAACCCUGAUGCAGCGACGCCGCGUGGAGGAAGAAGGUCUUCGGAUUGUAAACUCCUGUGUUGGGGAAAAGAGGAUGGUACCCAACAAGGAAGUGACGGCUAACUACGUGUCAGCAGCCGCGGUAAUCUGAGGCGGGCUGGCAAGGC
rnacentral:rRNA from 1 species